rnacentral:rRNA from 1 species
UGAGGAAUUUUGGACAAUGGGCGAAAGCCUGAUCCAGCAAUGCCGCGUGUGUGAAGAAGGCCUUCGGGUUGUAAAGCACUUUUGUCCGGAAAGAAAUGGCUCUGGUUAAUACCUGGGGUCGAUGACGGUACCGGAAGAAUAAGGACCGGCUAACUACGUGCCAGCAGCCGCGGUAAUACGUAGGGUCCAAGCGUUAAUCGGAAUUACUGGGCGUAAAGCGUGCGCAGGCGGUUGUGCAAGACCGAUGUGAAAUCCCCGAGCUUAACUUGGGAAUUGCAUUGGUGACUGCACGGCUAGAGUGUGUCAGAGGGGGGUAGAAUUCCACGUGUAGCAGUGAAAUGCGUAGAGAUGUGGAGGGAAUACCGAUGGCGAAGGCAGCCCCCUGGGAUAACACUGACGCUCAUGCACGAAAGCGUGGGGAGCAAACAGGAUUAGAUACCCUGGUAGUCCACGCCCUAAACGAUGUCAACUAGUUGUUGGGGAUUCAUUUCCUUAGUAACGUAGCUAACGCGUGAAGUUGACCGCCUGGGGAGUACGGUCGCAAGAUUAAAAGCUCAAAA